rnacentral:rRNA from 1 species
UACGAAGGGUGCUAGCGUUGUUCGGAAUUACUGGGCGUAAAGCGCGCGUAGGCGGCUUUUCAAGUCAGGGGUGAAAUCCCACAGCUUAACUGUGGAACUGCCUUUGAAACUGUAAAGCUAGAGUGCCGGAGGGGAUAGCGGAAUUGCUAAUGUAGAGGUGAAAUUCGUAGAUAUUAGCAGGAACACCGGUGGCGAAGGCGGCUAUCUGGACGACAACUGACGCUGAGGCGCGAAAGCGUGGGGAUCAAACAGG